ACACUCCUACGGGAGGCAGCAGUGGGGAAUUUUGGACAAUGGGCGAAAGCCUGAUCCAGCAAUGCCGCGUGAGUGAAGAAGGCCUUCGGGUUGUAAAGCUCUUUUGUCAGGGAAGAAACGGUGAGAGCUAAUAUCUUUUGCUAAUGACGGUACCUGAAGAAUAAGCACCGGCUAACUACGUGCCAGCAGCCGCGGUAAUACGUAGGGUGCAAGCGUUAAUCGGAAUUACUGGGCGUAAAGCGUGCGCAGGCGGUUUUGUAAGUCUGAUGUGAAAUCCCCGGGCUCAACCUGGGAAUUGCAUUGGAGACUGCAAGGCUAGAAUCUGGCAGAGGGGGGUAGAAUUCCACGUGUAGCAGUGAAAUGCGUAGAUAUGUGGAGGAACACCGAUGGCGAAGGCAGCCCCCUGGGUCAAGAUUGACGCUCAUGCACGAAAGCGUGGGGAGCAAACAGGAUUAGAAACCCCAGUAGUCCCAUGA
rnacentral:rRNA from 1 species